rnacentral:rRNA from 1 species
UGCGUAGGCGGCGCCUUAAGUAAGAUGUGAAAUCCCCGGGCUUAACUUGGGAAGUGCAUCUUAAACUGGGGUGCUAGAGUGCAGGAGAGGGAAGCGGAAUUCCUAGUGUAGCGGUGAAAUGCGUAGAUAUUAGGAGGAACACCAGUGGCGAAGGCGGCUUUCUGGACUGUAACUGACGCUGAGGCACGAAAGCGUGGGGAGCAAACA